rnacentral:rRNA from 1 species
UACGUAGGUGGCGAGCGUUGUCCGGAUUUACUGGGCGUAAAGAGCGCGCAGGCGGUCGUUCAAGUCGAGUGUGAAAGCCCCCGGCUCAACUGGGGAGGGUCACUCGAUACUGAUCGACUCGAAGGCAGGAGAGGGUAGUGGAAUUCCCGGUGUAGCGGUGAAAUGCGUAGAUAUCGUAAGGAAGACCAGUGGCGAAGGCGGGUCUCUGGACAGUUCCUGACGCUGAGGCACGAA